AAGAAAGAGGGCGGCGGGCGUAACACAUGCAAGUCGAACGGAAAGGCCCUGCUUUUGUGGGGUGCUCGAGUGGCGAACGGGUGAGUAACACGUGAGUAACCUGCCCUUGACUUUGGGAUAACUUCAGGAAACUGGGGCUAAUACCGGAUAGGAGCUCCUGCUGCAUGGUGGGGGUUGGAAAGUUUCGGCGGUUGGGGAUGGACUCGCGGCUUAUCAGCUUGUUGGUGGGGUAGUGGCUUACCAAGGCUUUGAGGGGUAGCCGGCCUGAGAGGGUGACCGGCCACAUUGGGACUGAGAUACGGCCCAGACUCCUACGGGAGGCAGCAGUGGGGAAUAUUGCACAAUGGGCGGAAGCCUGAUGCAGCAACGCCGCGUGCGGGAUGACGGCCUUCGGGUUGUAAACCGCUUUCGCCUGUGACGAAGCGUGAGUGACGGUAAUGGGUAAAGAAGCACCGGCUCCCUACGUU
rnacentral:rRNA from 1 species